AUUGAACGCUGGCGGCAGGCCUAACCCAUGCAAGUCGAGCGAGCGGCGGACGGGUGAGUAAUGUAUGGGGACUGCCCGAUAGAGGGGGAUAACUACUGGAAACGGUAGCUAAUCCCGCAUACUAUCGGAUAACCCAUAUGGGAUUAGCUAGUAGGUGAGGUAAUGGCUCACCUAGGCGACGAGCCCUAGCUGGUCUGAGAGGAUGAUCAGCCACACUUGGACAUAGACACGGCCCAGACUCCUCGGGAGGCAGCAGUGGGGAAUAUUGAACAAUAGGCGCAAGCCUUAUGCAGCCAUGCCGCGUGUAUUAAGAAGGCCCUAGGGUUGUAAAGUACUUUCAGUCGGGAGGCGUUACCGACAGAAGAAGCACCGGCUAACUCCGUGCCAGCAGCCGCGGUAAUUC
rnacentral:rRNA from 1 species